AUCCCCUAAUCACUACCUUUAACCAGAUUUUCACCGUUGACCCACGAAAAAAAAUCCCCGAAACCGCUCACUUUGAGGUUGCAGGAUGGUUUUGGCUUGGUGGAGGCAAUUUCAUGCGGGUUGUGUUAGUUUUGGGGAUGAAAGCGGGUGACUUCGGGGGUGUUUUGUGGUGGGUCAACAUCGAAAAAUUAGGUCAACGAUGGAAAUCUGGCCAUAGAUAGUCUUUUACAACAAUUUACCUUUCAAUAGGUAGUUUUAUUACAACAUUAUUUUAUUAGGUAGUUUUUCACAAAUUCUAAGUUUUAUUAGGUAGUUUAUGACAAAAAAUACUAAAAUUUAAAAUGCUAAGUUUAAAUACUAUGCAAAUUACAAUUUUGAAAUUUUGGCUUCACCUCGAGUUGAUUUUAAAAUAAGCACUAAUUGAUGGAUAAAUCUUCUUUGCAGAUACUUGAAUUGAACUUCGCUUCGUACAUUUUAAUUUUAUUCUUACGCUUACUCCUAAAAUAUUACAUUGCAGGAAGAAGUCGAUUUAUUUAUGUCUAAAUCAGUUUGAAACACUUCUAGAGGAAGAACUGGAAUAUUUUACGAGGAAUGGAGUAAGGGUGUCGGCGAUAGGAGAGAAUUACUUGUUGUCUGAAUCACUUCAAGCCACAAUAAAGAAAGUCGAAGAAGCAACAAAAGACAAUACAAAACUUGAUGUAGUCUUUCCAGUAUGUUACACUUCACAAAGUGACAUAGUUCAAGCAACAAGGAAAAUUUGCCACAAAGUCAAGGAAGGAAGCAUUACAAUAGAGGAUGUUAAUGAAGAUUUGAUUGAACAUCUUCGCCUUGGCAUGUUGUUAGGGUGGCAAAUUGCCAAUGUUCAUCUAUAUAUUCCCAACACUUGUGCACCUGACUUCCAACGAAAAUUUGUUCCUUGAUGCUUUGCGUUCUUAAAAGCAAAGAGAUGCAUCGUUUGGUAGGUAAAAUAGAAGCUACUACGUUUUUUUUUUUUCACCUUCAUCUUGUCAUAGGAAUCAUAAAUUGGAAAAAUUCCAAGGUGUUGGUGCUUUAUGCUUGUUGUAUAUUGUUCUUAAUUUUGCGAGCACUCUCUUAAUAUAUUUGUUACUCUUGGUAA